ACCUAUGGUUGGGGUGAAACGGUCGAGUCCCUGAGUGGACCAGGACCAGAGUACGAUCGAGUCCAAGGAAGGACCAGGAUCGAAUUAUGACAAAGUCCAGUGAAGGAUAGAAGUCAAGUCUGAGGUGCUUUUAGUCUGGAGGGACUAAAAUCGCAAUGUGGCCAAGCCUGAAAAGGUUGUGGCCGGUUAAGGGGAUGAUCCAGUACGUUGUGGCUGAGGUCACGAACCUUAUUGUCCAUGAAGGACAAAGAACCAUAACAAUCUGUUAGGACUCGUUGUAGGACGAGCAGCCUAAAGAUUGGAACAAGUUCGUGAGGACUUGACUGGAACAUCGAGUGGUGUGGGG
rnacentral:lncRNA from 1 species